rnacentral:rRNA from 1 species
GGAAAGGUGAAAAGAACCCCGAACAGGGGAGUGAAAUAGAACCUGAAACCAUACGCUUACAACCUGUCGGAGCGGCUUCGUGCCGUGACGGCGUGCCUAUUGAAUAAUGAGCCUACGAGUUACUAAUCACUGGCGAGGUUAAGUGCACGGAUGCACGGAGCCGAAGCGAAAGCGAGUCUUAAUAGGGCGUUUAGUCAGUGGUUGUAGACGCGAAACCUUGCGAUCUACCCUUGAGCAGGUUGAAGGUUGGGUAAAACCAACUGGAGGACCGAACGAAUAAGCGUUGAAAAGCUUCUCGAUGACUUGAGGGUAGGGGUGAAAGGCUAAUCAAGCUGGGAAAUAGCUCGUACUCCCCGAAAUGCCUUUAGGGGCAGCGUUGUAAUAAAGAGUCUACUGGAGGUAGAGCUACUGAUUGGAUGCGGGGGCUUCACCGCCUACCAAAUCCUGACAAACUCCGAAUGCCAGUAGUAUGAUUUACAGCAGUGAGCGACCGGGUGCUAAUGUCCGGUUACGAGAGUGGAACAACACAGACCAGCAACUAAGGUCCCCAAGAGUAUACUAAGUUGAUCUAACGAUGUUUUGCUGCAGAGACAGCUAGGAUGUUAGCUUGGAAGCAGCUAUUCAUUCAAAGAGUGCGUAACAGCUCACUAGUCGAGCGACAAAGCGUGGAUAAUAAACGGGCAUCAAGUAUACCACCGAAGUUCUGGGCACGAAAGUGCGGUAGGGGAGCAUUCCAUUCCGCGUUGAAGCCGAACCGUGAGGUUUGGUGGAGUGUAUGGAAAAGCAAAUGUAGGCAUGAGUAACGAUAAUGCGGGAGAGUAACCCGCACACCGCAAGACCAAGGUUUCCUGAUCAACGCUAAUCGGAUCAGGGUUAGUCGGGUCCUAAGGGUAAGCCGAACGGUGAUCUCGAUGGAUAAUCGGUUAAUAUUCCGAUACUGACAUAUACCUCGAUGGAGAGACGAAGGAACGUAAGUGCCGCCACCUGACGGAAUAGGUGGUUAAAGGGCUUAGGUAUAGGGACAGAUUAAGAGUUAGUCCUUGCUGAAACCUGACAGUACAGAGAGCCUACGGGCAAUUUGAUAGUGCACCCAAGUCGACUUCCGAGAAAAUCUUCUAAGUUAUAGUAUAUGUCACCCGUACCGUAAACCGACACAGGUGGUCGAGGAGAGUAUCCUAAGGUGCUCGAGUGAAUCACGGUUAAGGAACUAGGCAAAUUAACCCCGUAACUUCGGGAAAAGGGGUCCCUAUGAAAGUAGGGCGCAGCGAAGAGGUCCAGGCGACUGUUUAUCAAAAACACAGGGCUCUGCAAAUUCGAAAGAAGACGUAUAGGGCCUGACACCUGCCCGGUGCUGGAAGGUUAAGAGGGGAUGUCAUCGCAAGAGAAGCAUUGAAUCGAAGCCCCAGUAAACGGCGGCCGUAACUAUAACGGUCCUAAGGUAGCGAAAUUCCUUGUCGGGUAAGUUCCGACCUGCACGAAUGGUGUAACGAUCUGGACACUGUCUCAACCGUGAGCUCGGUGAAAUUGUAGUCCCGGUGAUGAUGCCGGGUACCCGCAACGGGACGAAAAGACCCCGUGAACCUUUACUAUAGCUUAACGCUGAAUUUGGGUACACAAUGUGUAGGAUAGGC